rnacentral:rRNA from 1 species
UACGUAGGGACCAAGCGUUGUCCGGAAUCAUUGGGCGUAAAGGGCUCGUAGGCGGCCAACUAAGUCAGACGUGAAAUCCCUCGGCUUAACCGGGGAACUGCAUCUGAUACUGGAUGGCUCGAGUUUGGGAGAGGGAUGCGGAAUUCCAGGUGUAGCGGUGAAAUGCGUAGAUAUCUGGAGGAACACCGGUGGCGAAGGCGGCAUCCUGGACCAACACUGACGCUGAGGAGCGAAAGCCAGGGGAGCAAACGGG